rnacentral:lncRNA from 1 species
GCCGGGCCGAGCUGGGGCUGCGGCUGGCGCGGGGGGGGCACGAGGGGCCCCCCGGCCCCCAGGCCCGCCUGCCCCCCGCCUUCCUCGGUGAGACCCCCCCACGGCCGCGCACACCUGCGCACAACUGCGUGCAGCGUUGCACCGCAUUGCACGACUGUGCACAACCGCACAAGACUGCGCACAACCGCGUGCAGCGUUGCACCGCAUUGCACGACUGUGCAGAGCCUCGCAUGGCACUGCACAACCGCACACAACCGCGCACGGCGUUGCAUGGCUGCGCACAGCCUCACACCGCAUUGCACCACGUUGCACGGGCUCACACGACUGCGCACCGCAUUGCACAGCUGCACACAGCGUUGCAUGGCGUUGCACAGCUGCACACGGCGUUGCACAGGUCCGCACAGCCGCGCAUGGCUCCGCGCCGCAUUGCGCUGCAUUGCACGACCACGCGCAGCAUUGCACGGCGUUGCACGGCCUCGCACGACCCUGCGCCGUGUCGCGCCGGCUCACGCGGCUGCCCGUGACUGUGCACCGCGCUGUACGGGGCUGCACCACUGCGCACGGUGCUGCAUGGCUGUGCGUGGCCUCACACAGCCCCUCACAGCCUCGCACAGCUGCGCACGGCUGCACCGCGCUGCACACGGGCUGCUGAGACUGUGCGCCUCGCAUGGCCUCGCACAGGGGUUUGCACGAGGGUUUGCACAGGGGCGUUUGCACGAGGGCCCCGCGCUCACGGCGCCGCGCAGAGAACGGGCAGUGGGAGCUGUGCCACCGCGCGGGCCGGCACCACGCGCCGCCGGGGGAGGCCGCGCACGAGGACGUCACCUUCUACCUCGUCAUCCGCCGCAAGCCGCUCUUCUACAUCGUCAACAUCAUCGUGCCCUGCGUGCUCAUCACCGUGCUCGCCAUCUGCGUCUUCUACCUGCCGCCCGACGCCGGGGAGAAGAUGACGCUGUCGCUGUUCGGGCUGCUGACGCUCACCGUGUUCCUGCUGCUGCUGGCGGACAAAGUGCCGGAGACGUCGCUGGCGGUGCCGCUCAUCGUGCGCUACCUGACGGCGACGCUGGUGCUGCUGACGCUCUGCGUCAUCCUCAGCGUCGGCGUCCUCAACCUGCACCACCGCUCGCCCGCCAGCCACGCCAUGCCGCCCUGGGUGCGCCGGGUAAGGGCCGCGCCGCCGCCCGGACGCCGGGGCCCCUCGGACGCCUGGGCCCCUCGGAUGCCGGGGCCCCUCGGAUGCCGGGGCCCCUCCGACGCCUGGGCCCUUCCUUGGGCACCAGGGUCCCUCGGAUGCCAGGGCCCCUGGACACCUGGGCCCCAGACGCCUGGGCCCCUCCCCGGGUUCUUGGGCCCCCCUGGACUCC